GAUCAUGCUCAGGAUGAACGCUGGCGGCAUGCCUAAUACAUGCAAGUCGAACGAGAGGAAGGAAAGCUUGCUUUUCUGAAUCUAGUGGCGAACGGGUGAGUAACACGUAGGUAACCUGCCCAUGUGCCCGGGAUAACUUCUGGAAACGGAUGCUAAAACCGGAUAGGUAGCAGACAAGCAUUUGACUGCUAUUAAAGUGGCCUUGGCCAUGAACAUGGAUGGACCUGCGGUG
rnacentral:rRNA from 1 species